GGAGAGAUGCCAGAGCGGUUGAAUGGGGCGGUCUCGAAAACCGUUGUCGGGGUGACUCGACCGGGGGUUCGAAUCCCCCUCUCUCCGCCA
rnacentral:tRNA from 1 species